AGAGUUUGAUCCUGGCUCAGAGUGAACGCUGGCGGCAGGGCUAACACAUGCAAGUCGAGCGGCAGCACGGGUAGCAAUACCUGGUGGCGAACGGCGGACGGGUGAGGAAUACAUCGGUAUCUGCCUCGUCGUGGGGGAUAACGUAGGGAAACUUACGCUAACACCGCAUACGACCGAGAGGUGAAAGCGGGGGAUCGAAAGACCUCGCGCGAUGAGAUGAGCCGAUGUCGGAUUAGCUAGUUGGCGGGGUAAGAGCCCACCAAGGCGACGAUCCGUAGCUGGUCUGAGAGGAUGAUCAGCCACACUGGAACUGAGACACGGUCCAGACUCCUACGGGAGGCAGCAGUGGGGAAUAUUGGACAAUGGGCGCAAGCCUGAUCCAGCCAUGCCGCGUGGGUGAAGAAGGCCUUCGGGUUGUAAAGCCCUUUUGUUCGGGACGAAAUCGUACGGGCGAAUAUCCCGUGCGGAUGACGGUACCGGAAGAAUAAGCACGGC
rnacentral:rRNA from 1 species